AAGUCGGAAUUGCUAGUAAUCGCGGAUCAGCAUGCCGCGGUGAAUACGUUCCCGGGCCUUGUACACACCGCCCGUCACACCAUGGGAGCCGGUAAUACCCGAAGUCAGUAGUCCAACCUCGUGAGGACGCUGCCGAAGGUAGGAUUGGCGACUGGGUGAAGUCGUAACAAGGUAUC
rnacentral:rRNA from 1 species